GAAAUGCGAUAACUAGUGUGAAUUGCAGAAUUCCGUGAAUCAUCGAGUCUUUGAACGCACAUUGCGCCCCCUGGUAUUCCGGGGGGCAUGCCUGUCCGAGCGACAUUGCUGCCCAUCAAGCACGGCUUGUGUGUUGGGUCGUCGUCCCCUCUCCGGGGGGGACGGGCCCCAAAGGCAGCGGCGGCACCGCGUCCGAUCCUCGAGCGUAUGGGGCUUUGUCACCCGCUCUGUAGGCCCGGCCGGCGCUUGCCGAACGCAAAUCAAUCUUUUUCCAGGUUGACCUCGGAUCAGGUAGGGAUACCCGCUGAACUUAAGC
rnacentral:misc_RNA from 1 species